rnacentral:tRNA from 1 species
UAAGAGGUAGGGAAAAGGUAUCCCCCAAAACUUUGAAUUUUGUAUCAAGAGUUCGACCCUCUUCCUCUUGG